ACCGUGGCCUACUGGUUAGCGCUUCGGACUUGUAACCGGAGGGUUGCCGGUUCGAACCCCGACCAGUAGGUA
rnacentral:tRNA from 1 species